CUGACUGUUUUAGGUGAGUCAGAUCUUUAUAAAUGUACAAAGAUAAACGUGAUGAGACGUUCUCAGGAUCCUGAUAUGUUUGGGUUAUUAUCAGUUCAGCUCAGAGCUUUUUGACAUGAAGCUUCAGCGCUGUGCUAAUUACGAAGCGUACUUCGGUGCAGGAACUAAACUGACUGUUCUCGAACAUGACGUCACUCCACCGACAGUCAGAGUUCUCCCAGCUUCUCCAAAGGAGUGUGGACACCAGAGUAAGACCAUCGUUUGUGUGGCCAGUGGAUUCUACCCGGAUCAUGUCAGCUUCUCCUGGACCGACAAAGAGGGCGAGGUCAGCUCAGGUGUGGCGACGGACAGCGAGGCCGUGCUGGAAGAAGGAAAGACCUACAUGAUGAGCAGCAGGCUGAGGGUCUCUGCUGAAGAGUGGAACAAUCCUGACAAUGAAUUCACCUGCACCGUCCGCUUCUUUGACGGGGACAAAACGGUCCCUUACUCUGCUUCAGUUAAAGGAAUAGAAGCUGAAAGAAAAACCAUCACCAGAGACAAAUAUCUGAAGGUCACGCAGAGCGCCAAACUGACGUACAGCGUGUUCAUCGUGAAGAGCUGUUUCUACGGAGCCUUCCUCGCUUUUCUGCUGCUCAAGUUUCAGGCUGCAGACGGGAAACAGAAGAACUGAGAGCUGAUCUGAAGUCUGAAGCGUCGACUCGGAGAGAUUAACUUUGACCGUGUACAGAACGUUUUCUAUAAAGCUGAUAAAAGCUUCUAUGAGCUCACUGUGUUACUUUCACUUCUUCUUCUUUGUUUGAGUUCAUGACUGAAUCUGUUUCUUUUGAAUAAACGUUUGUGAGACGAUCUGA